rnacentral:rRNA from 1 species
CCUACGGGAGGCAGCAGUGAGGAAUAUUGGUCAAUGGGCGCGAGCCUGAACCAGCCAAGUCGCGUGAGGGAAGACGGUCCUAUGGAUUGUAAACCUCUUUUGUCGGGGAGCAAAAGCCGCCACGCGUGUCGUUCCGAGAGUACCCUACGAAAAAGCAUCGGCUAACUCCGUGCCAGCAGCCGCGGUAAUACGGAGGAUGCGAGCGUUAUCCGGAUUUAUUGGGUUUAAGGGGUGCGCAGGCGGAAGAUCAAGUCAGCGGGAAAAUUUGGGGGCUCACCGUCUUCGUGCCGUUGAAACUGGUCGUCUUGAGUGAGUGAGAGGUAGGCGGAAUGCGUGGUGUAGCGGUGAAAUGCAUAGAUAUCACGCAGAACUCCGAUUGCGAAGGCAGCAUACCGGGGCGCAACUGACGCUGAUGCACGAAAGUGUGGGGAUCGAACAGGAUUAGAUACCCUUGUAGUC